rnacentral:ribozyme from 17 species
GGAGGUGAUGGACAAGAUUAUGCAACAGGGAUUCAACCGCUCGUUCUGUGGUAAGAAUGCAACGGUGUACGGCAAGGGAGUAUACUUUGCCCGUGAUGCGUCAUACUCUGCAUACCCCACCU